rnacentral:rRNA from 1 species
CAUGGUUGUCGUCAGCUCGUGCCGUGAGGUGUCGGCUUAAGUGCCAUAACGAGCGCAACCCUCGUUCCAUGUUGCCAGCACGUAAUGGUGGGGACUCAUGGGAGACUGCCGGGGUCAACUCGGAGGAAGGUGGGGACGACGUCAAAUCAUCAUGCCCCUUAUGUCUUGGGCUUCACGCAUGCUACAAUGGCCGGUACAAAGGGCUGCGAUACCGCGAGGUGGAGCGAAUCCCAAAAACCGGUCUCAGUUCGGAUUGGGGUCUGCAACUCGACCCCAUGAAGUCGGAGUCGCUAGUAAUCGCAGAUCAGCAACGCUCGCGGUCCGAUACGUUCCGGGCCUUGUACACACCGCCCGCCGUCGACGCGGCCG